UACGUAGGGUGCAAGCGUUAUCCGGAAUUAUUGGGCGUAAAGAGCUCGUAGGCGGUUUGUCGCGUCUGCUGUGAAAACUGGAGGCUCAACCUCCAGCCUGCAGUGGGUACGGGCAAACUAGAGUGCGGUAGGGGAGAUUGGAAUUCCUGGUGUAGCGGUGGAAUGCGCAGAUAUCAGGAGGAACACCGGUGGCGAAGGCGGGUCUCUGGGCCGUUACUGACGCUGAGGAGCGAAAGCGUGGGGAGCGAACAGG
rnacentral:rRNA from 1 species